CAACCGGAAUAGAAACCGUAGUCAAAAUAAAGCUUAACACAUGCAAGUCUAACGAACGACUAUUAACCGAUUUUUAUUCUGGGCGAACAAUAUUGAAGUUAGUGGCGGACGGGUGCGUAACGCGUGGGUAAUCUGCCUUUGUCAAAGGAAUAUCUAUUCGAAUGAAUAGCUAAUACCGUAUAGCAUAUUAAUAGGGCAUCCUAAUAAUAUCAAAAUUGAGGUGGACUAAGAUGAGCCCGCGUCUGAUUAUCUAGUUGGUGAGAUAAAAGCCCACCAAGGCAACGAUCAGUACCCGACCUGAGAGGGUGAACGGCCACAUUGGAACUGAGACAUGGUCCUAACUCCUACGGGAGGCAGCAGUGGGGAAUAUUGCACUAUGGGGGGAACCCUGAUGCAGCAACGCCGCGUGAGUGAAUAAGGCAUUCGUGUCGUAAAACUCUGUAGUAGGGGAAGAAAGAAAUGACAGUACCCUAAAUGAAAGCCCCGGCUAACUACGUGCCAGCAGCCGCGGUAAUACGUAUGGGGCAAGCGUUAUCCGGAAUAACUGGGCGUAAAGGGUGCGCAGGUGGUUUAACAAGUUAGUGGUGAAAGGCAUAUGCUCAACCAAUGUAAGCCAUUUAAAACUGUUUAACUUGAGUGCAGGAGAGGAAAGUGGAAUUUCCUAGUGUAGCGGUGAAAUGCGUAGAUAUUAGGAGGAAUACCAGUGGCGAAGGCGACUUUCUGGACUGCAACUGACACUGAGGCACGAAAGCGUGGGGAGCAAACAGGAUUAGAUACCCUGUUAGUCCACGCCGUAAAC
rnacentral:rRNA from 1 species